UUGGAUGACCCAGAGUUCUAGAAUUAUGGAGGAGGGGGGAAAUGCUCCCUCCACAUCAAACAUUUUCCCCCUCCCUCAUAAUUCUAGAACUCUGGGUCAUCUAAU